UAAUUUUUUUGGUUAAGUUAUUAAGAGCUUUUGGUGGAUGCCUUGGCAUCGAAAGGCGAAGAAGGACGCGUUUACCUGCGAAAAGCUUCGGCGAGCUGGAAAAUAGCUACGACCCGAAGGAAUCCGAAUGGGGCAACCCGGCGGGAGUAAUAACCCGUCAUCCGUAUCUGAAUACAUAGGAUACGGAAGCUAUACCUGCUGAAUUGAGACAUCUUAGUAAGCAGAGGAAGAGAAAUCAACCGAGAUUCCCGUAGUAGCGGCGAGCGAACUGGGAAGAGCCCAAACCGUGGUCUUUGGCCGCGGGGUUGUAGGACCGACCAAAGGAACAUGGAUCUUUAGCCGAACAACUCUGGAAAGAGUGACAAUAUAGGGUGAUAGUCCCGUAGGCGAAAAAGUGAAAUGGCAGGGUCGGCACCUGAGUAGGUCUGGACACGUGAAACCCGGACUGAAUCUAGGGGGACCACCCUCUAAGGCUAAAUACUCUUCGAUGACCGAUAGUGAACUAGUACUGUGAAGGAAAGGUGAAAAGAACCCCUGUUAGGGGAGUGAAAUAGAAUCUGAAACCAAGAGCUUACAAGCGGUCAGAGGCCUAUGAUCUUCUUCGGAAGAUAAUGGCUGAUGGCGUGCCUUUUGUAUGAUGAGCCAGCGAGUUACGUUAUAUGGCAAGGUUAAGGGACGACGUUCCGGAGCCGAAGCGAAAGCAAGUGUGAAUAGCGCGAUAAGUCAUAUGAUGUAGACACGAAACCGAGUGAUCUAUCCAUGGCCAGGUUGAAGCACGGGUAAAACCUUGUGGAGGACCGAACCAGUACAUGUUGAAAAAUGUUUGGAUGAGCUGUGGAUAGGGGUGAAAGGCCAAUCAAACUCGGAAAUAUCUUGUUCUCUCCGAAAUAACUUUAGGGUUAGCCUCGAAGGUUUAAUCCUGGGGGUAGAGCACUGGAUCCACGCGGGGGCCUACCGGCCUACCAAAGGGAACCAAACUCCGAAUACCAGGAUGUUAUACUUCGGGAGAUAGACAGUGGGGGAUAAGCUUCAUUGUCGAGAGGGGAACAGCCCAGACCAUCGAUUAAGGUCCCAAAUUCUAUGCUAAGUGAGUAAGGAAGUGAAGUUUCAAAGACAGUUGGGAUGUUGGCUUAGAGGCAGCCAUCAUUUAAAGAGUGCGUAACAGCUCACCAAUCGAGAGACUUUGCGCCGAUAAUAUACGGGACUAAGCAUAGAACCGAAAUCAUGGAUGCAGAAUAUUAAGUUAUUCUGCGUGGUAGGAGAGCGUAGUAUGCACGUUGAAGCUAUACCGUGAGGAGUAGUGGAGAGCAUACUAGUGAUUAUGCGUGGCAUGAGUAACGAUAAAGGAGGUGAGAAUCCUCCUCGCCGAAAACCUAAGGUUUCCAGGGUAAAGCUCGUCUUCCCUGGGUUAGCCGGCUCCUAAGUCGAGGCCGAAUAGGCGUAGACGAUGGGAAACAGGUUAAAUAUUCCUGUGCCAUCUAAGACUAUAGUGAUGGGAUGACGAAGUACGUUAAAUACGCGGACGAUAGGAAGUGUCCGUAGGUCCAUGAGGCUGGUCGAUAGGUAAAUCCGUCGACGUAAGGCCAGGUGGAUCUCAAGGGGAGCCUCACGGUGAACCGAUGGUAUAGCGCAAUGCUUCCAAGAAAUAAUCUCUAACUGUCGAUGAUGACCGUACCGUAAACCGACACAGGUAGGUGGGAAGAAUAUUCUCAGGCGCGCGGGAGAACUCUUGUUAAGGAACUCGGCAAAUUGUUCCUGUAACUUAGGGAGAAGGGAAGCCAUCUAGUGUGAUUGCUCUAGCAGCAUGAGCGUUAGGUGGCCGCAGAGAAAUGGCCCAGGCGACUGUUUAUCAAAAACACAGCACUAUGCAAAGUCGAUAAGACGCAGUAUAUGGUGUGAUGCCUGCCCAAUGCCAAAAGGUCAAAAGGAGAUGUUAGCACCCUCGGGUGCGAAGCUUCGAAUUUAAGCCCUGGUGAAUGGCGGCCGUAACUAUAACGGUCCUAAGGUAGCGAAAUUCCUUGUCGGGUAAGUUCCGACCUGCACGAAUGGCAUAACGAUCUGGGUACUGUCUCAACGAGGGACUCGGUGAAAUUGUAGUAGCGGUGAAGAUGCCGUUUACCCGCGACAAGACGGAAAGACCCCGUGAACCU
rnacentral:rRNA from 1 species